GGCCAAGGUGGGCGCAGGCGGCGUCGGCGGCUGAGCAGGCUAAAGCUGGCGCGGGCGGUGUCGAGAGGGCGUGCGGGCGAGCGGGCUGCGUCGGCGGGCAAGCAGCGCCGGCGGCAUGGUUCUGCACCACAUUUGUGAACCCAUCCGAGGCUCUCUCUCUCUCUCCCCCCCCCCCCCCCCCCCUCCAGAUCUAGAGCAGCACGAUCGAGCGGAGAAACGCAGCAGCACGUCAUCAUCCUGAUGCAAGCGGGUGCGACGCGUUGGUCAGGCUCGGGGCCGGCGGCUACGGCUUCCUAGUGACCAUUCCACUCUUUCCCCGAAAGGUCAGAUGAAAUAUCGAGAUCCUCCCACUUCUCUCUCAGUCGAUUAUUGCAAGCACCACUAAAUCGAGCAGCGGCAACCGCACCCUUCCCUGCCUCAGAUGCAAAUCGAAGCAGCAGCCAGCAGCAACACGUUUCAUUCCUCUGCUUCUACUCCAAAGCACGGCUCCAAAUCAGAGCAGAACAUAGCGUUGCAUCCUGACCUCCUGUUUCUUCCUCCAAAUCCAAGCUGCAGAGCAAUGGGCAAGCACUAGAUUACAUGAUUUGGAUUAGGAAAAUACAGAUUUGUAUUGUAGUAAAGCUAGGACACUGCAGCUAAAUUGCCUUCUCUUUUCAUUGUUAACGCACAAUAGCAAAAUGAUUGGGAAAAAUACCCAAUUAGAUGCUUGUGUAUACUGCUUGCUUUUAUUCUCUAAUAAUACCAAUAUACCAUCUUCCUUGUUUGAGUUACAGUCAAUGGUUGUUAAUUGUGGGUGAUUUGUGAUCUCAAAAGCCAGCCUGCUGUCUGCUCCAGAGGAAGGAAUUUUUAAAUUUGCCAUGUCGUGUGUUUUUUCUAGCAGUAAAGAAUAUUUGCCCUAAGCCCUAUUACCUCUACUACUACUAGCUCAGUAACAGAAGCUGGAGGUGGGUAAACCGAGGCGCGGGAGGCAAGAGGCGAAGCGACACGCGGCACGGCUGGGCGGAGAUGGUUCUGACGCCACCCCCUACAUAUGGGCAUCGUCCAGGUCUACUGCUUCCAAUCCCUUUCCAUCUACAUUAUGUGCUUGUGCUAUCAGACUAUCAUUUCAGCCAUAAUAGAGGAAUAUAUCCUUUGGCAGAAUUGUGCGGAUCGUGCCUAUAGAAUAAUAAUGUCUUAACUGAAUGUGUUUUCUGGCAACUGUAGCUCAUCCAGGUCUACCUUUAGUAUUUGAUGACCUUAAAUAUGUGUAGGCAUAUUAUCUAAACAGUUCACUGCUACUGAAAAGCUAAACAGCUCGAUAUAUUUCUAUGAUUUAUGCUCAGAGUUCUACAACUUGUGUGUGUCUAUACUGAAUAUUCAGAUGCUUCCAUUUUCAUAAUGUAUGCAUUUUUUAAGAACUUCAUAAUUUAUAAUUGAGACUUGCAUUUAUUUACAGUCGAGGCAGAAGGCUCAAGAGGAUCUGCAGAAAGUGGAAAAGAAACUUGCCUUUUAUUUCAAGUUUAUUUGCUUGCCAUUGUUUUUUUUUUUUGUCUUGGGUGGCCCUUAAUUCUCGAGGUCAUCCUAUCUCAACCAUCGAAUUUUUUUUUGUGUUCUGUUCUUGCAGGUGUUUUCAGUUGUAGGUCCUGUGUUGAGCAGAGGCCCAAAUUAAAUCCACAAAUCUGGUGUGCUAAUUUUGGCAUCAGAUUUCAAGAGUUAUUUGUUGCUAAUUUCAAAAGUUCCAAAAGAAGCUGUGAUAAUUUAACCUAGCUGCUUUUGAGUUGUGAGAAUUAUUUCCUUUUUCAAACAAGAGCAGGCUCCAUUUACUAAUUGUGCUAAUUUGUUACAAAUCUUGCAAAUGUUGUGCUUGAGAAGCACAAGAGAUAUCUGGCGCUGCGAGGUAGAGCAAAAUCCAUCCAUAGGUGAAAAGAAAGAGGGGAUCCUUGCCAAGGUUCAUGUCUUCCGUGAAUGUGAUUCACUAUGACCAGUGGACAACCUAUUUCUCUCUCAUGAUGACCAUAUGAACUUGUUCAUGGAAUUGUUAUCAACAACCUGUUAGCUCUGAUCAUAUUUGAAGUUUUGGAACUUCAAUGCUUCUUUUGGAGGCUUGGCAAUUUGAGUGGUAAUGGUUCUUUAUUGGGCAUGGGUUAGGCUGCUGUCAUACAAAACUGCAACUGGGUAAGGAACUUAACGCUUUGCAUAGAAUUCGGUGUUCUAAGCUUUAUAAAAGCAACUGCAUUCCAAAAUUGAGCAAGAAAGUUAUAAUGCUUGUGUUAGCUGAAUGUUGCUAUCAUGAUACGGUGAUUCAGAGCAACUGAGAUAGCUUGAAAAGGAAGAGUCUGGUGCUGUUCGUCAGCAGGUAUGAUUUAGAGUAAUGUUACCAAACAAUUCAGAAAGAGACUUAGAUUCAAAGUCAGAGAUAGGUUCACUACUGAUAGAGUGAUAGGAGGCGGGCUGAUUGAUUUCUUUGUAGAUUUCAAGCUUCUCUUUUGUUUUAUUUCUCACCUCAAAUUGGAACCUAUAUUUAUUUUGUAAGUCUACAAUUUAUCCGUGGCGUUAGCACGGGCACCUUACUAGUCUUCUUAAAAGGAGUAGUAUUCUUUUGUUUGAGCU